rnacentral:rRNA from 1 species
UACAUGGGGUGCAAACGUUGCUCGGAAUUAUUGGGCGUAAAGCGCACGUAGGCGGUUCGUUAAGUCGGAUGUGAAAGCCCCUCGGCUCAACUGAGGAAGUGCACCCGAAACUGGCGAGCUUGAGUACGAAAGAGGAUCGCGGAAUUCCCGGUGUAGAGGUGAAAUUCGUAGAUAGUCGGGAGGAACACCGGUGGCGAAGGCGGCGAUCUGGUCGAUACGUGACGCGUGAGACGCGAAAGCGUGGGGAGCGAACAGG